AGCGCUGAGCGGCGGUGGCUUUU
rnacentral:piRNA from 1 species